rnacentral:rRNA from 1 species
AGCGAACGCUGGCGGCAGGCUUAACACAUGCAAGUCGAGCGGGCAUCCUUGUGGUGUCAGCGGCAGACGGGUGAGUAACGCGUGGGAACGUGCCCUUCGGUUCGGAAUAACUCAGGGAAACUUGAGCUAAUACCGGAUACGUGCGAGAGCAGAAAGGUUUAUCUGCCGAAGGAUCGGCCCGCGUCUGAUUAGCUAGUUGGUGAGGUUACGGCUCACCAAGGCGACGAUCAGUAGCUGGUCUGAGAGGAUGAUCAGCCACACUGGGACUGAGACACGGCCCAGACUCCUACGGGAGGCAGCAGUGGGGAAUAUUGGACAGUGGGGGCAACCCUGAUCCAGCCAUGCCGCGUGAGUGAUGACGGCCUUAGGGUUGUAAAGCUCUUUUCUCCGGGACGAUAAUGACGGUACCGGAGGAAUAAGCCCCGGCUAACUUCGUG